GGGGGUUAAUUCUCAACGGCAUAGUGUAUAGCACCAAAAAAAAAGGAGGGGGGGGGGGGGUCAAUUCUCAUCAGCAUAUUGUAUUACACAAUAGCAAAAAAAUUAACAUUAUUCAAAUCAUAUAACCAAUUCUAAGUUCUUUGACUACAGUUAUUCUGUGUCAAAUCCCAAUAUAGACCUGUAUCAAGCGCGAAUAUUGUGCCCAUUUUUACCCCAACUGUUCAGACUUAGACCUCUGCAGUCGUAUCCAGCUGCGCUAAGCAAAGCAAUUUAUUGGGGC
rnacentral:lncRNA from 1 species